AUUGAACGCUGGCGGCAUGCCUUACACAUGCAAGUCGAACGGCAGCGCGGGAGCAAUCCUGGUGUCGAGUGGCGAACGGGUGAGUAAAGUAUCGGAACGUGCCCAGUCGUGGGGGAUCACGUAGCGAAAGUUACGCUAAUACCGCAUACGAUCUAUGGAUGAAAGCGGGGGAUCGCAAGACCUCGCGCGAUUGGAGCGGCCGAUAUCAGAUUAGGUAGUUGGUGGGGUAAAGGCUCACCAAGCCGACGAUCUGUAGCUGGUCUGAGAGGACGACCAGCCACACUGGGACUGAGACACGGCCCAGACUCCUACGGGGGGCAGCAGUGGGGAAUUUUGGACAAUGGGCGAAAGCCUGAUCCAGCCAUGCCGCGUGCAGGAUGAAGGCCUUCGGGUUGUAAACUGCUUUUGUACGUAACGAAAAGGUUUGGCCUAAUAAGCUGAGCUCAUGACGGUACCGUAAGAGUAAGCACCGGCUAACUACGUGCCAGCCGCCGCGGUAA
rnacentral:rRNA from 1 species